UGGACUGCUUCUUCAACAUCUGAUAAGUCUGUCUAGUCAAACUAAACUCAUCUUUAAACUCCACAAUAUGAUGAAUCGAAGCUCUCUUCUCCAACGUCAAGUUCAAGAACUCGUGCACAAUCCCAACGCGAUACUUCUCCGCUUCCAAACUCCAAACAUCAAGCUUCCAACCAUCCGAAUACGGCGAAACAAGAGGAAACGUAUUCAACAAAUUCAGCUUCCUCGUAUCCUUCUCUUCCAACUCCAACUCCUUCCCAUGCUUCAC